GAUGAACGCUAGCUACAGGCUUAACACAUGCAAGUCGCGGGGCAGCAUGGGGGUUGCUUGCAAUCCCCGAUGGCGACCGGCGCACGGGUGAGUAACGCGUAACCAACCUGCCCUUCACCACGGGAUAACCCGGCGAAAGUCGGACAAAUACCGAAUGUUUUCCAUUGACGGUUCCCGAUUUGGACGAAAGGCUUGGCGGUGAGGGAGGGGGAUGCGUCCGAUUAGCCAGACGGCGGGGUAACGGCCCACCGUGGCUACGAUCGGUAGGGGUUCUGGGAGGAAGGUCCCCCGCACUGGAACUGAGGCACGGUCCAGACUCCUACGGGAGGCAGCAGUGAGGAAUGUUGGUCGAUGGGCGUAAGCCUAGACCAGCCAAGUAACGUGCAGGAUGACGGCCCUAUGGAUUGUAAACUGCUUUUAUGCGGGGAUAAAGUAGCCCACGUGUGGGCUUUUGCAGGUACCGCAUGAAUAAGGACCGGCUAAUUCCGUG
rnacentral:rRNA from 1 species